rnacentral:rRNA from 1 species
CUACUGGGGGCAGCAGUGAGGAAUAUUGCACAAUGGGGGGAACCCUGAUGCAGCAACGCCGCGUGGAGGAUGACGCAUUUCGGUGUGUAAACUCCUUUUAUAUGUCAGGAAAAUGACGGUAGCAUAUGAAUAAGCACCGGCUCACUCCGUGCCAGCAGCCGCGGUAAUACGGAGGGUGCAAGCGUUACUCGGAAUCACUGGGCGUAAAGGACGCGUAGGCGGGUUGGAAAGUCAGGUGUGAAAUCCUACAGCUUAACUGUAGAACUGCACUUGAAACUUCUAAUCUAGAGUAUGGGAGGGGGAGAUGGAAUUAGUGGUGUAGGGGUAAAAUCCGUAGAUAUCACUAGGAAUACCUAAAGCGAAGGCGAUCUCCUGGAACAUUACUGACGCUAAGGCGUGAAAGCGUGGGGAGCAAACAGGAUUAGAUACCCCGGUAGUC